GCCCGAAUGGCGGAAUUGGCAGACGCACUAGUUUCAGGGACUAGCGACCGCAAGGUUGUGCAGGUUCGAGCCCUGUUUCGGGCA
rnacentral:tRNA from 1 species